CAAAAGCUGAGCAAUAAUUUGCAAAAUCUUCCUCUAGAGAAACUGGAUAAUGUGGUGCAGAUUAUCAAGAAGAGGAACUCAUCACUGAGUCAGCAUGAUGAUGAGAUUGUGGUAGAUAUAGAUAGUGUUGAUACUGAGACUCUUUGGGAGCUGGAUAGGUUUGUUACCAAUUAUAAGAAGAGUCUAAGCAAGAACAAGAGGAAGCCAAAGCUUGGUGAGCUUGCACUUCAGUAAAGGUCGGACAAUCAGCAACAUGAAGGGCAAGAAAUGGUACAGGAAAGGAAUUCUGAUGCUGUAGUUGCAGAAGUGCCAACAGAGAGCAGGACAGUGGUUGAUGAAAAGCACGCGGCUUCCUCUCCACUACAAGCAGGUGAAAAGAAGGGAGAUAAUGCAAGUAGGUCAAGUAGUUCGAGCAGCUC